rnacentral:rRNA from 1 species
GCGAACGCUGGCGGCAGGCUUAACCCCUGCAAGUCGAGCGGGCACUUCGGUGUCAGCGGCAGACGGGUGAGUAACACGUGGGAACGUACCCUUUGGUUCGGAAUAACGCUGGGAAACUAGCGCUAAUACCGGAUACGCCCUUUUGGGGAAAGGCUUGCUGCCGAAGGAUCGGCCCGCGUCUGAUUAGCUGGUUGGUGGGGUAAUGGCCUACCAAGGCGACGAUCAGUAGCUGGUCUGAGAGGAUGAUCAGCCACACUGGGACUGAGACACGGCCCAGACUCCUACGGGAGGCAGCAGUGGGGAAUAUUGGACAAUGGGCGCAAGCCUGAUCCAGCCAUGCCGCGUGAGUGAUGAAGGCCUUAGGGUUGUAAAGCUCUUUUGUCCGGGACGAUAAUGACGGUACCGGAAGAAUAAGCCCCGGCUAACUUCGUG